AAAUCUGAAAAUUAUGCUCGAAAUUAGAUUACUAAGCAAGUUACCUCGCAAGCCCCGGCCAGGUUGCAGGUUAAUAAUAAUCGCACAUGUAACCAUCUCAUAGAUAUCAUCCUAUGUGGUAUACAUGGCAGGUGAAUGGGCCCAUAUUCACCUUUGAUAUUUUCAGAAUUUAUGGGCUUCAACCCGAACUCUUUAGUUGGUCAGUUCAUUNNN
rnacentral:lncRNA from 1 species